GAUGAACGCUGGCGGCGUGCCUAAUACAUGCAAGUCGAGCGAACAGACGAGGAGCUUGCUCCUCUGACGUUAGCGGCGGACGGGUGAGUAACACGUGGAUAACCUACCUAUAAGACUGGGAUAACUUCGGGAAACCGGAGCUAAUACCGGAUAAUAUAUUGAACCGCAUGGUUCAAUAGUGAAAGACGGUUUUGCUGUCACUUAUAGAUGGAUCCGCGCCGCAUUAGCUAGUUGGUAAGGUAACGGCUUACCAAGGCAACGAUGCGUAGCCGACCUGAGAGGGUGAUCGGCCACACUGGAACUGAGACACGGUCCAGCCUCCGACGGGAGGCAGAAGUAGGGAAUCUUCGGCAAUGGGCGAAAGCCUGAGGGAGCAACGCCGCGGGGGUGAAGAAGGUUUUCGGAUCGUAAACCUUUUUUAUUGGGGAGAAAAAAAUGUGAAAUAAACUAUGCAUGUCUUGAGGGUCCCAAAUCAAAAAGCCACGGCUAACUCCGUG
rnacentral:rRNA from 1 species